rnacentral:lncRNA from 1 species
GAUUCAGUCCAUCUAUCAUAAGUCCCAACUUGACGGAGGUCAUGAAGAACUCGUCAGAUCCCAUCAUCAGUCAUAUGCUAGAUUGACUCGACUUGAGUUUAUUUGUGAAUCCCGUAGAAACUCCUUUCUAGUAUUCAUACUUACUUUGGCCAAAGAUUUUCUGAACUCAGUCUCACAAAUUGCAUAGGACUUCUCCUUUUCUGUCAAGAUCGAUAGAUUCCAUUUAGGUGCAUCCUACUCUAAACAGCGAACCUAAACCUACUGAAACUAACAUACACAGUAAAGAUCUGAAUGGCUAGAAAUCAAGAAAACAUCUAGUCAAACCCAAUAGCCUCACUGUGAAUAGCCAAUGACAUCGUAGGUCAAAGAACCACUCACACCACUGC